UUAAGCACAACAAAAUGCGUAGUUUCAUGUUCGUAAAAGAUAUAAAGUAAACAUCAAUAGUGUGAUGCGGUGCAUAAUCUACCGUAUUUAUCAGAUUCAACUAUAGCAUACAAAUGGAUUUAAAACGUAUAUUCUCGUGUAAAUCAGAACACGCGCCGAGAGGUAUCCCAAACCAUGACCAAAAAUUGAUGAAGAUAUUAAAAAGGCUAAUGAUCAAUUACGCAUUCCGCAAACAUUUGUAUCUAUUCAAAAUCCAACUACAAAAAUAGUUUUUGCGGUCCUCUUGUUAGUUUUGGUUACUGGAAAUUGCCAAGAUAUCCUGAAGGUACUAUUCGGAGACUACAAUAGAAAAUCCGCCAGAGCUCCCUCAAGAAAUGACGAAGGCUACACGAGAUACAAGGGUAUCUGCAGACUACACGCCCUCAGUUACAAUCCAACUCCUGGAAAAAUUAUUUGUCCGUGGUGAUGAUUUUUGUAAAUGCUGUUGAAUAUUCUGAGUGAAUCUACAACAAUGGAACUAAUCACUGUGUAUAAAAAUGGUUUUUUUAUACACAAGUGCGUGUAAGAUAUAUCAAUUGUUAAUCUAAGACGGUUAUAAUUAAUACAUCACAUUGUAUUAUA